rnacentral:rRNA from 1 species
AUUGAACGCUGGCGGCAUGCUUUACACAUGCAAGUCGAACGGUAACAGGCCGCAAGGUGCUGACGAGUGGCGAACGGGUGAGUAAUGCAUCGGAACGUGCCCAGUCGUGGGGGAUAACUACUCGAAAGAGUAGCUAAUACCGCAUACGAUCUAUGGAUGAAAGCGGGGGACCGUAAGGCCUCGCGCGAUUGGAGCGGCCGAUGUCAGAUUAGGUAGUUGGUGGGGUAAAGGUUCACCAAGCCAACGAUCUGUAGCUGGUCUGAGAGGACGACCAGCCACACUGGGACUGAGACACGGCCAAGACUCCUACGGGAGGCAGCAGUGGGGAAUUUUGGACAAUGGGCGCAAGCCUGAUCCAGCAAUGCCGCGUGCAGGAAGAAGGCCUUCGGGUUGUAAACUGCUUUUGUACGGAACGAAACGGCUCUGGUUAAUACCCGGGGCUAAUGACGGUACCGUAAGAAUAAGCACCGGCUAACUACGUG